rnacentral:rRNA from 1 species
UACGUAGGGUGCGAGCGUUAAUCGGAAUUACUGGGCGUAAAGCGUGCGCAGGCGGUUUUGUAAGUCAGAUGUGAAAUCCCCGGGCUCAACUUGGGAACUGCGUUUGAAACUCCAAAGCUAGAGUACAGGAGAGGGGGGUAGAAUUCCACGUGUAGCAGUGAAAUGCGUAGAGAUGUGGAGGAAUACCAAUGGCGAAGGCAGCCCCCUGGACUAAUACUGACGCUCAUGCACGAAAGCGUGGGGAGCAAACAGGAUUAGAAACCCCCGUAGUCC